AUUGAACGCUGGCGGCAGGCCUAACACAUGCAAGUCGAGCGAGCGGCGGACGGGUGUGUAAUGUCUGGGAGACUGUCUGUUGGAGGGGGAUAACUACCGGAAACGGUAGCUAAUAUCCCAUACCAUCAGGUGUGCUCACAUGGGAUUUGCUAGUGGGUGGGGUAACGGCUCACCUAGGCGACGCUCCCUAGCUGGUCUGAGAGGAUGACCAGCCAAACUGGAACUGAGACACGGUCCCGACUCCUACGGGAGGCAGCAGUGGGGAAUAUUGCACAAUGGGCGCAAGCCUGAUGCAGCCAUGCCGCGUGUGUGAAGAAGGCCUUCGGGUUGUAAAGCACUUUCAGCGGGGAGGCGUUACCCGCAGAAGAAGCACCGGCUAACUCCGUGCCAGCAGCCGCGGUAAUUC
rnacentral:rRNA from 1 species